GAUUGGAGCCGAGACAAAAGCAACGGGAAGCGGCGGGCCGGGACGCUACCCGCGGACCCCGGGCGCGACCGGACCAGCCCCGAGGCAUUCCCCCGCCUUGAGGGGGCCCCCAAUCCGCCUCCCCCGCCGCGUGCCCCGCCGCCAGACUUCCGAAAAUUGGCCAAAAACUCACCGCAUGAAUUUUCUUGUCCCGCGGAUCCAAGAUGGCGACGUAUCCACCGCGGAGGCUGCUGGGAGCAAGACCUUUACCCUCUGACCCCCGCCGUGACCCCCGUCGCUCCGACUCCGCUCGAAGGCGGCGGCGACGGCGGCUGCAGCAGCAGAAGCCGGCGAGCGAGCGAGGCUCGCCGAAUGGACGGAACGCCGCCCGUACGCCAGUCGACCGUGAGAAGCACAACGCUCGCCUGGAGCCUUCCCGGGCUUCCGCCGCCUCCCGCGGAAGGUGCGGCGCUGUCUUGUGGCGGUGACCGAGGAGAGUGGGGCCUGGGCGGCCUCUCCGGGCUCCCGAAGCCAGACCGCCGCCACGCCGGGAGCUGCUGCGGCCACGCCUGGAGCUGCGGCCUGGGGUCCGAGCGAGCGGGCGAGCGCGGCCUCGGGGGCGGGGAGAAGCCGAGGGUGGCGUGGGUCCGCCCACCGGGGGACGCGCAGCGUGUUUGUGUUUGUGUUUUCCUCGGACACCCCGCCCCCGAGCACCUCCUGCGGGCUGUCCCCGGGCUGUCCCCAGCCUGCUGCGCGGCGCGGUGCGGUGCGGUGCCUGCGGUGCUUCGGUCCUCCCACCGCCCCGCUGCCUGCGCUACCUGGGUGCGCUCCCCCAGACACCCGCCGCACGCCGCCCGCACCUCCCGAGCAGUGAGUUCCCCUCCGCUGGAACCUAGGCGUUUGAUCGCCGCCCCCUCUUCCUUUUCAUGCUCCCCUUUUUUUUACCUGCCCCCCCCCCCCCCGGUCUAAACCUGGUGAGAGGAAGUAAGGGGGAAGCGUGUUUUUAAAGCACUGCCGGGAGUACUUAAUCUAACCGAACGGUGUUUGUGGCACUUUAUUUAGUUCCCGCCCGGCGCGCCCUUGGUAAACCUUAGUGACCAGCUGGCUCAUCCACUAGACCUUUUGAAAAUACGGUGGCUGUGGUUGGGAACUAAAGUGUUUUGCUCUCCAAAGCCGGACUGUCCCUGAAAGUGAAAUUACUUUUUAUUGCUGUAAUACUCUUAGUUUACACCUUUGAACAUCCACAAACUUCGUGUUUUACGGUUACUUAACUUGCUAAAAAGCCUCUUUGUGCUUUGAAGUUGCGAGUUUCAUAACGUAUCGCUGUUCAUGUUUGAGUGGUAGAGCUUACUAAUGCGGAUUACUACUCAUUUGAAGUAAAUAAAGUUUCUGCUGUAGUUUAAUAAAUUACCUCCUUCCAGCCCGCCAGUCUAUAUAGUUAGAUAUAGAUUCUGUGAUAAACGGAAGCGAUAUAUAUUUUUAUCAUAGAAAGCUAAAGGCAAGAAAUAGGAUACAAUAGCCUACGGUGAAAUUAAAAGUACCUUUGUCAUGGUUUUGAAAGUAAUUUGACAUAGCAGAUAUGCAGUAUCAGCAGAUAUGCAAAUUUGUUUAAAUGCGGACAGGAACUGGUGUAGCCAGUAGAAAAAAAAGGUUUAUUUUGCUAGGUUGUUCAUUUCAUUAAAUACUCCUUUUCACCGUUUUGUGUUUUGUUGGUUUUUCACUUUAGGGAAAUUCAAGAAGGAACAACACAGUCCUACAUGGCCCCUCCCCCAACCGUGCCUUCCUGUCUCGUCUGCUUUCUCUUCCUCUCAAGUUAGCAUCUACUGCCAUAAGGUAGUGUGUUCAAAGACUGGCUACUCUAGGCGUGUGCAGCUCAUGUGCGUGAAUGCAUGCAAUGCAGAGCACCUUAAUCUGGCUGCUCGUUAUUGGGAGCCCUUAAUGUGUAUGUAGUAGCAUUAUCACAUUAAGUAACAUUAAAUAUUCUAAUUCAUUACUCUUCUUACGUAUAUUAACUUAAAAACACAUUUUUGUCAAAAUUUAAACAUUGCUGUCACUGGGGAAGGUCUGAGAGUAUUGCUAUGCUUGGACUUUACCAGGUGAGAUAAGACCAUUUUCUUAAUUAAUGUGUGGAACAGGGAUGCUAGGAAAAACUCCAUGAACGUCCUAGCAUUUGCUAAAGGCUGUAUUGAUGGCUCAACGUGACGAUGUAUGCACUCAAUAAAAGAUGUAUGCACUCAAUAAAAAUCUUAAAUCAUC
rnacentral:lncRNA from 1 species